AUCUAAAUAGUUUAUUUUAAAAAUGUUAAUUUGUGGGAUUAUAGAUGUAAGUUUAUACUUACUUUGGAUU
rnacentral:tRNA from 1 species